GACAGAGGUGCCGAGCGUUAGGCGGAAUCACUGGGCUUAAAGCGUGUGUAGGCGGGUCCGUAAGUACCUUGUGAAAUCCCACGGCUCAACCGUGGAACUGCUGGGUAUACUGCGGGUCUUGAGCCACUUAGGGGCAAGCGGAACAAACGGUGGAGCGGUGAAAUGCGUAGAUAUCGUUUGGAACGCCAAUGGUGAAAACAGCUUGCUGGGAGUGUGCUGACGCUGAGACACGAAAGCCAGGGGAGCGAACGGGG
rnacentral:rRNA from 1 species